UACAGAGGGUGCAAGCGUUAUCCGGAUUCACUGGGUUUAAAGGGUGCGUAGGCGGGCAGAUAAGUCAGUGGUGAAAUACCUGAGCUUAACUUGGGAACUGCCAUUGAUACUAUUUGUCUUGAAUGUUGUGGAGGUUAGCGGAAUAUGUCAUGUAGCGGUGAAAUGCUUAGAGAUGACAUAGAACACCUAUUGCGAAGGCAGCUAACUACGCAAAUAUUGACGCUGAGGCACGAAAGCGUGGGGAUCAAACAGG
rnacentral:rRNA from 1 species